rnacentral:rRNA from 1 species
UACGAAGGGGGCGAGCGUUGUUCGGAAUUACUGGGCGUAAAGCGUGCGCAGGCGGUUUUGCAAGCCGGAUGUGAAAUCCCCGGGCUCAACCUGGGAAUGGCAUUCGGGACUGCAAGGCUGGAGUGCGGCAGAGGAGACUGGAAUUCCUGGUGUAGCAGUGAAAUGCGUAGAUAUCAGGAGGAAUACCGAUGGCGAAGGCAGGUCUCUGGGCUGACACUGACGCUCAUGCACGAAAGCGUGGGGAGCAAACAGG